UCCGGUUGAUCCCGGCAGAGGCCACUGCUAUCGGAGUUCGAUUAAGCCAUGCGAGUCGAGAGGUGUAAGACCUCGGCAUACUGCUCAGUAACACGUGGACAACCUAACCUGAAGAGGGGGAUAACCCCGGGAAACUGGGGAUAAUACCCCAUAGAUUAUGGAUGCUGGAAUGCUCUGUAGUUGAAAGGUCCGCCGCUUCAGGAUGGGUCUGCGGCCGAUUAGGUUGUUGUUGGGGUAACGGCCCAACAAGCCUGUAAUCGGUACGGGUUGUGGGAGCAAGAGCCCGGAGAUGGAUUCUGAGACACGAAUCCAGGCCCUACGGGGCGCAGCAGGCGCGAAAACUUUACAAUGCGAGCAAUCGUGAUAAGGGAACUCCGAGUGCCUGUAAAAUCAGGCUGUCCGCCAGUGUAAAUAACUGGUGAAGAAAGGGCCGGGCAAGACCGGUGCCAGCCGCCGCGGUAAUACCGGCGGCUCGAGUGGUGGCCACUAUUACUGGGCUUAAAGCGUUCGUAGCUGGUCUGUUAAGUCUCUGGGGAAAUCUUCCGGCUUAACCGGAAGGCGUCUCAGGGAUACUGGCAGACUAGGGACCGGAAGAGGUGAGAGGUACUCCAGGGGUAGGAGUGAAAUCCUGUAAUCCUUGGGGGACCACCUGUGGCGAAGGCGUCCCACCAGGACGGCUCCGACAGUGAGGAACGAAAGCUGGGGGAGCAAACCGGAUUAGAUACCCGGGUAGUCCCAGCUGUAAACGAUGCACGUUAGGUGUAUCGGUGACCACGAGUCACCGAGGUGCCGAAGAGAAAUCGUGAAACGUGCCGCCUGGGAAGUACGGUCGCAAGGCUGAAACUUAAAGGAAUUGGCGGGGGAGCACCACAACGGGUGGAGCCUGCGGUUUAAUCGGACUCAACGCCGGGAAACUCACCGGACAAGACAGCUGAAUGAUAGUCGGGCUGAAGACUCUACUUGACUAGCUGAGAGGAGGUGCAUGGCCGUCGUCAGUUCGUACUGUGAAGCAUCCUGUUAAGUCAGGCAACGAGCGAGACCCA
rnacentral:rRNA from 1 species